AGACACACUUCCAAAAAUAAAUCAAGUUCUUGGCAAUCCUGUGAGGAUAAAGGAAUAAAGAAUCACAAACUUGUCCGCUGACCUCAGCAGGUGGAGUGCCGGAAUUCAGGGGAAUCUGUGUUAUCAUGCACACUCUUCUCUGAGGAUAGAAUCACAGGCACACCAAAAACUAGCCAUCGCCGUUAGGGACGGCAUCAGAAGGGACAGCCCCAAAAGAUUACACAGGACAAAAGAAGUGGUCAAAUACAAGGAUUCCUUUGGCUUUGGCUGUUUUCAUCCAGGGAUUUCAAAGUACUUUUAAGAUAGCUCUAUUGCUUUGUGGAAGGCAAUUAAUAAGACAAAGAGAAAUAAAGACCUGAAAAGUGAAGAAGUCCAUGUAUAUUCACACACCAAGACCAGUAGAAAAUCUUUAAAUUCAUUCAUCUUUGGAUCACUUUGGUUAGACAGUCAAGAAGAU
rnacentral:lncRNA from 1 species